CAACCUAAUUAUCUUUAUUUUUUCGCCCCAGUCUUACAUGCAUCUUUCUUCAGAUGCAAGUUGGUGAUUUACAUUCAUAACUUUG